rnacentral:rRNA from 1 species
UNGUGGCGAACGGGUGAGUAACACGUGGGCAAUCUGCCCUGUACUUUGGGAUAAGCCUGGGAAACUGGGUCUAAUACCGGAUAUCACCAGUCCUCGCAUGGGGGUUGGUUGAAAGUUCUGGCGGUACAGGAUGAGCCCGCGGCCUAUCAGCUUGUUGGUGGGGUAAUGGCCUACCAAGGCGACGACGGGUAGCCGGCCUGAGAGGGUGACCGGCCACACUGGGACUGAGACACGGCCCAGACUCCUACGGGAGGCAGCAGUGGGGAAUAUUGCACAAUGGGCGAAAGCCUGAUGCAGCGACGCCGCGUGAGGGAUGACGGCCUUCGGGUUGUAAACCUCUUUCGCCAGGGACGAAGCGCAAGUGACGGUACCUGGAUAAGAAGCACCGGCUAACUACGUGCCAGCAGCCGCGGUAAUACGUAGGGUGCGAGCGUUGUCCGGAAUUAUUGGGCGUAAAGAGCUCGUAGGCGGUUUGUCGCGUCGUUCGUGAAAACUCCACGCUUAACGUGGAGCGUGCGGGCGAUACGGGCAGACUUGAGUUCGGUAGGGGAGACUGGAAUUCCU